GCAUAUCAAUAAGCGGAGGAAAAGAAACCAACAGGGAUUGCCUCAGUAACGGCGAGUGAAGCGGCAACAGCUCAAAUUUGAAAUCUGGCCCUAGGCCCGAGUUGUAAUUUGCAGAGGAUGCUUUUGGUGCGGUGCCUUCCAAGUUCCCUAGAACGGGACGCCAGAGAGGGUGAGAGCCCCGUACAGUUGGACACCAAGCCUUUGUAAAGCUCCUUCGACGAGUCGAGUAGUUUGGGAAUGCUGCUCAAAAUGGGAGGUAUAUUUCUUCUAAAGCUAAAUACCGGCCAGAGACCGAUAGCGCACAAGUAGAGUGAUCGAAAGAUGAAAAGCACUUUGAAAAGAGGGUUAAACAGCACGUGAAAUUGUUAAAAGGGAAGCGCUUGUGACCAGACUUGCGUCCGGUGAAUCACCCAGCUCUCGCGGCUGGGGCACUUCGCCGGCUCAGGCCAGCAUCAGCUCGCUGUCGGGGACAAAAGCUUCGGGAACGUAGCUCUCUUCGGGGAGUGUUAUAGCCUGUUGCACAAUACCCUUCGGCGGGCUGAGGUACGCGCUCCGCAAGGAUGCUGGCAUAAUGGUCAUCAGCGACCCGUCUUGAAACACGGACCAAGGAGUCAACCUUAUGUGCGAGUGUUCGGGUGUCAAACCCCUACGCGUAAUGAAAGUGAACGCAGGUGAGAGCUUCGGCGCAUCAUCGACCGAUCCUGAUGUUCUCGGAUGGAUUUGAGUAAGAGCAUAUAGGGUUGGACCCGAAAGAAGGUGAACUAUGCGUGUAUAGGGUGAAGCCAGAGGAAACUCUGGUGGAGGCUCGCAGCGGUUCUGACGUGCAAAUCGAUCGUCAAAUAUGCGCAUGGGGGCGAAAGACUAAUCGAACCUUCUAGUAGCUGGUUUCCGCCGAG
rnacentral:rRNA from 1 species